rnacentral:misc_RNA from 1 species
GAUGAAGAACGUAGCGAAAUGCGAUAAGUAAUGUGAAUUGCAGAAUUCAGUGAAUCAUCGAAUCUUUGAACGCACAUUGCGCCCGCUAGUAUUCUGGCGGGCAUGCCUGUUCGAGCGUCAUUUCAACCAUCAAGCCCCCGGCUUGUGUUGGGGACCUGCGGCUGCCGCAGGCCCUGAAAACCAGUGGCGGGCUCGCUAGUCACUCCGAGCGUAGUAAUACAUCUCGCUCAGGGCGUGCUGCGGGUUCCGGCCGUUAAAAAGCCUUAUUUACCCAAGGUUGACCUCGGAUCAGGUAGGAAGACCCGCUGAACUUAAGCAUAUCAAUAAGCGGAGGA